rnacentral:rRNA from 1 species
AUGUUGUCGACCCUUUGGUUUGCUACUCUUAGAUGCCUGUUGAGUAAAUGUUAUCUGAAUCCUCACAUUUUCUUUUGUUUCAGAGGCAACUCCAUGAAGGACGCAGCGUCCAAGGCUUAUGCUCAGGUGUUUGCUCUUCACCAUGGCUGGGCCAUAAGGAAAGCAGUAUGUGCUAGAAUGUACGCCCUUCCUUCUAAGUCGCAGCUCUUGAAGAAACUGAAUGAAGAUGGUGAGUAUGUCUUCGUCUCCAGAACACUGAUUUAUCUCUCUUUAGUUUACACAUGUUAUUACAUUGAACUUCCAUGCCAAGAAAGCAACUCAUAA